UCCUUAUCUAGAGUCAGGGGAGGAAAUUGGUCCUUAGAUCCUGCGGCAACCUCACUAUCAACAAGUUGAAAGGUGCCCAUUCCAACAAGCGAUAUGCUUGAAAGAUGAGGA
rnacentral:ncRNA from 2 species